rnacentral:rRNA from 1 species
UACGAGGGAGGGCUAGCGUUGUUCGGAAUUACUGGGCGUAAAGCGCACGUAGGCGGACAUUUAAGUCAGGGGUGAAAUCCCAGAGCUCAACUCUGGAACUGCCUUUGAUACAGCACGUCUCGAGUCCGGAAGAGGUGGGUGGAAUUCCUAGUGUAGAGGUGAAAUUCGUAGAUAUUAGGAAGAACACCGGUGGCGAAGGCGGCUCUCUGGGACGGUACCGACGCUGAGACGCGAAAGCGUGGGGAGCGAACAGG